AUUGAUUUUGUGAACAAGAGAGUAGUAUUUGUUAGAAAGCUUAGCGAAUUUGGGACGGUGUAAGCCAAAUGGAAAGACAGAUAUGAAGCGCACUUGGGAAAAUUUGCUUAUUAAAAGCAGACGGCGAUCUACCGUUAUAGAAGAAGCUGGUCUGAACUUCAGACAACAAGAGUGGUACCGCGGGAAGUCUCGUCUCUAAC
rnacentral:ncRNA from 1 species